rnacentral:rRNA from 1 species
AUUGAACGCUGGCGGCAUGCCUUACACAUGCAAGUCGAACGGGGGUUGCAAUACCCUAGUGGCGAACGGGUGAGUAAUGCAUCGGAACGUACCCAGUUGUGGGGGAUAACGUAGCGAAAGUUACGCUAAUACCGCAUACGCACUGAGGUGGAAAGCGGGGGACCUUCGGGCCUCGCGCAAUUGGAGCGGCCGAUGUCGGAUUAGCUAGUUGGUGAGGUAAAAGCUCACCAAGGCGACGAUCCGUAGCUGGUCUGAGAGGACGACCGGCCACACUGGGACUGAGACACGGCCCAGACUCCUACGGGAGGCAGCAGUGGGGAAUUUUGGACGAUGGGCGAAAGCCUGAUCCAGCCAUGCCGCGUGAGUGAAGAAGGCCUUCGGGUUGUAAAGCUCUUUCGGACGGAAAGAAAUGGCUUCGGUGAAUAAUCGGAGUCGAUGACGGUACCGUAAGAAGAAGCACCGGCUAACUACGUGCCAGCAGCCGCCGUAA